UACGGAGGGUGCAAGCGUUAUCCGGAUUCACUGGGUUUAAAGGGUGCGUAGGUGGGCAGGUAAGUCAGUGGUGAAAUCUCCGGGCUUAACUCGGAAACUGCCAUUGAUACUAUCUGUCUUGAAUACCGUGGAGGUUAGCGGAAUAUGUCAUGUAGCGGUGAAAUGCUUAGAUAUGGCAUAGAACACCAAUUGCGAAGGCAGCUCACUACACAAUUAUUGACGCUGAGGCACGAAA
rnacentral:rRNA from 1 species